GACACCGCUCCACUCCCCGCGGCAGACUCCACGUGGCACGCCCCGAUGAUAGCCACGGGUCUACUCCACUACUCUUCGCAACAAACUCCGUCUGACCCUGGGCAGCCCACUGCCAGACGGUUACAGAUAUCGCUAUCAGUCUGCUGCUCCCUCCGUCUAUAAAAGGGGGCCCCAGAUACGUUAUUCUUUAAGCUCUACUUUUCUAUCCCAAAACUUUGUUAAAAUUUCCAUUCGAGCACUCCAUUCUUGUUGAGGCAGAGAACUGACUUGAGCGUCGGAGGGUCUUGCCGGAGCAACCCCACCUCUGAUUUAGACUUCUUUUGCAGGUCCCGACGGCGACCGCGGCUCCCUCGACUCCAGCUCCGACGCAGGCGGAUUUUUGCACCAACAAAUAUUAAAAAUCAAUGUAACAUAUUUGACAAUAUAUGAUCAAUAACAAUUUUAUGCAACUAUUUUGUACUUA
rnacentral:lncRNA from 1 species